UAAAAGAAAGCAUUAGCCUGUCUUUUGUGU
rnacentral:piRNA from 1 species